UCAGAGCCCUGGGGACUGAAACCCUCUCUGUACAGAGCAGUAACAACAUCAGCUUCCCUAUGCUUUCUAGACAAAUACCAGAUGUGGAGGGACCAAUGCAACAAGUGAGAGGGUAGUUCAGUCUCCAGGCCACCAAGCUGUCUGCUCAG
ensembl:misc_RNA